CCCUUUUAUAUAUGAUAUCAGUGAUAUGCAUUUCUAACUGGUAAACUAUAAGUGAUAGAGACCUAGGGUCUUUUGAUUUAAGAUCCUUGGUCCAAAAAAUGAAAAUUAGGUCAAGGUCAAAUUCUAAAUUUUGAUUUUGGCUUAUUUUCACUUAUUCUCGUUAACUUUAUAAGAUUUCGACAAAUUCUUUUUACUAAAUUGUUAGUUGCGACAUGUCGUAACUUAGAAUUUUUGAUUGAUAGGGUGCGUAGACAAUAAACGGGAGUUUUUGCCCCUCUUAUAUUUAGAAUUAUGCAUAAAGUGAUAUUACUCAUGAACCAUACAUACUACUGACCUAGGGUCUUUUGAUUUGGGAUCCUUGGUUUAUGACCUUGAAAUUGGGGUCAAGGUCAUAGGUUAAUUGGACGUUCUAGAUUUUGACCUUUGCUCGAAAUUCAUAUUUUCAUAUCAUAAAGCCAUAGCAACUGACAUUUUCAACUGAAUCUUAAUAUUUUCAUAUCAAAAUAGAUCCUUAUUGGUUGAAAGACCUUCAAUUGUUCUUUGAACAAUUGGUUUUUAAUUAUUAGGUCUUUCCACUUUUCCGUGGAAAGACCUAUUGGAUUUCUUCUGAUUAUUAGGUCUUUCAACCUUUCAGUUGAAAGACCUAUUGUAUUUGUUCUGAUUAUUAGGUCUUUCCACCUUUCCGUGGAAAGACCUAUUGGAUUUCUUCUGAUUAUUAUUAUUAUUAGGUCUUUCCACUUUUCCGUGGAAAGACCUAUUGGAUUUCUUCUGAUUAUUAUUAUUAUU
rnacentral:lncRNA from 1 species